rnacentral:rRNA from 1 species
CAGUCGCCGCGGUAAUACGAACCGUGCGAACGUUAUUCGGAAUCAUUGGGCUUAAAGCGCGUGUAGGCGGAUGGGAACGUCGGUCGCUGAAAUACCCCGGCUCAACCGGGGAACUGGCAUCGAAACGACCCGUCUCGAGGGGCAUAGGGGGAGCUGGAACUUCCGGUGGAGCGGUGAAAUGCGUUGAGAUCGGAAGGAACGCCCGUGGCGAAAGCGAGCUCCUGGAUGUCUUCUGACGCUGAGACGCGAAAGCUAGGGUAGCGAACGGGAUUAGAUACCCCCGUAGUCCCUGUCUCUUAUA